ensembl:snRNA U6 U6 spliceosomal RNA
GCGCUUGCUUCGGCAGCACGUAUACUAAAAUAGGAGGGGAUACAGAGAAUAGCAUGGCCCCUGUGCAAGGAUGACACACAAAUUUGUGAAGCAUUCCAUAUUUAA